UGAAAAAAUAGAGGCAACUUUUCUUCCACUGCAGCAUGAAGGAAGCUGGGUUUUAGGAGCAUUAGCACUUGCUAGUCUCUGUAGAAGUGAUAUGUUUGCAAUUUAGGGAUGGUUUGGAGAAUAGAUGUGUAAUUGCUACAUCAGUUAUUGUACUGUGCACGUUACUUAAAUAUCUCUGGGGUAAGAGAAAUGAACAAUUAAUUAGAUUAUAAGAAGAUGAAGGGAAAAAUGUUCUUUAUGUUUAUAUUGUUAGUGCUAUUUUUGUUAAGUGUUGCCCUGCAAACACGGGGGCUUUUUAUUUAUUGAUCCAUGGCUUUCGAUUUAUAGAUCCUUUGUAAUUAAAAAGAGAUGUGGAGAUUUGAGGGUAAGAGUGAGAAGCGGACCCUGCCCACCAGCAAACCCUUUAGCAUUUCAAUAUGUGGCAAAUUUUCUAAGAACAACCACUUAAUGGGUUAAGUUUGUGCUUCAGUACAGUGGAAGGAUACCUUUUACUGAACCUCUUUUGCUUUUCAAAAACCAAAAGUACAGCUUCGGUACAGAGGAAAGGAUACCUUUUCCUGACCUCUUUUGGUUCUCAAAAAAGUGAUUUCAUUCUUUUUUUCUUUCCUUCUCCCCUCCUCCCUCAAUUUUAUUUAUUAAAUAUACUUUUAUUCAGGAGUUCAGGAUGCUGCAUUUCAUAGAAAAAGUACAGGGUACUUUUUUUUUCCUCCAAACUCUGCCGGACCUGAUUCUGCUCAGGGUUCUUAAACAGAAAUGUUUAAGAAAUGUUCUAAAGAACAGAAAUGUUCUAAAGAUUGUAUGAACUAACUCAAAUAUUUACAGAACUGAAACUAAAUAUUUGCUACUUGGUGCAGUUGUGAAAUUGUUUUUUAAGAUGCAUUGUGUUGUUUGUUGGAUCCUGAAACUGAGUUAAAAUUUGACCAGUAAUAUGGUUUAUUUCUUUGUUCCUCUGAGGCAUAAUUCCUAAUAUUGUUUUUCCAACUAGAAAUCUGAAGGGUAUUGUGUUCAGUGUGUACUUUAAGAGUGAUAUGAAUUUGCAGGAGUCAGGACACACCAUAACAAAGACAGAAGAGAAAUAAGUGAGUAAGAGAGAGAAAUGAAACAAGAUGCAUGCGGGAAUAUUGUUGUAAGGCUUUUCCAUAGUUCAGCUAAAAACGAGGUUCUAUGUCCCAUGGCCACAAAAAUUCAGGCUUGCAGAUAGUUUAAAGGGUUAGCGAAGCAGGGUAUUAUUGGGUGAAAAGGGCGGGGAAACAAGUACUCUCGCAAGGUCAGAGGCCCUCUGCUAGAGCGCUUUCCACCUGGCAGUUUGAAUCCCAGGUUCCACACAGGAGAAAGAGGGGCCAGGCUCAGGCUCAUUCCUGCUGCAAACCUUGUGAACUUCCCAAGGCUCCACCUCAGUGGGCAGGCUGGUUGGGAGUUUCUCUAGGGACCGCUUCCCACCUGGCUGUCUCAGUAUUAGUCGGAGGAGCUAGAGAUGUAAAAAAGCAGAAGAGUACUAGGGACAUUUAGAAGGUUUAGUAAGAGAGGCAAAUGGGAGAUUUAGGGGAAAUUUUAAGGGGAGAGUUACAUAUUAGCUUAGUAAGAAUGAAAAAGAAUUAUGGAAGUCUUAGUAUUCUGAACCUUUAAGACAAUUUUGCAUUAGUGUGGAACCAGAAAGAAUAAAGGUUGAUAUUUUUAUAUGAGCAAAAAUCCAAACAAUGUUUACUGCUUAAUCCAAUCUUACCCAUCUUUUUCUCUGUCUAGAAUCUAAAAGCUGAAGCUCCUUGUUAUUCUUGGAGAUGUAUGUUAAAUGAAAGAAAGUUGGCAGGGACUUUUAAAAUACUACAAUUUAUAUUCAGUAAAAUUCACUCUUUUGGUGUACAUUUCUAUGAGUUUUGAUAAACAUAUAUUCAUGUAAUACCAUCAGAGUCAAGCUAUCGAGCCAUACCCACCCACUCCGGAUUCCCUCAUGCUCCUGUGUAGAAUGUCUCUUCCUCUACCCCCAGCCCUUGGCAACCACUGAUUUGUUUUUUGUUCUUGCACUUUGGCUUUUCCAGAAUGUCAUAUCAGCAGAAUCCUGCAGUAGGUAAAUGUAGAAUCUGACUUUAUUCACUUAGCAAUAAUACAUUUGCAAGUCAUCUUUAUUAUAGUAUGUGUCAUUUGUCAAAGAAAAACAAGUCUGAGCUUAGAUAGGGAGAAACUUUAUUCAAAGGGACUGUUGAAAUAGAAGUAACAUUGAUUUGGAAAAUAUAUUAAUGGUGUGGGAGAGAGCAGGGGAAAAGGUCUAAGGAUUUCAACAGGAAAUGGUGUUUUGUAGUCAGGGUAAGGCAGGAUGUUUUCUUGCAAGUCUGUGCUUUGGGGCUUGUUAGGCAAACUUGCAGGCAAACCCAUUUGGGGUCUGUCAGGAGGAGAAUAACUUGACAAAGGUUUGGCCAGCUCACACACAGUAAGAAGUGGGCAAUUGUGAAUGUGUGAUUCAAUUUUUUUUUAUUAGGGCUGAAGAAUAGUUGUUUACCUCUUCACCAGCUGAAGCAUAUUUCAGUUGUUGCUAGUUUUUCUGAUAAUGAAUGAAGCAGAUGUAAAUACUCCUUGCAGGUUUUUGGGUAAACACAAGUUUUUACGCCCCUUGUUUAAAUACCUAGGGAUAGGAUGGCCAGGGCAUGUGGUGCAUUUACAUUUAUCAUAAUGAACUGCUUAACUCUUUUCCAGAGUGCCUAUAACAUUUUGUAUUUUCAGUCAUGAUGCAUGAAAAUUCCAGUUGAAUCCUGUCCAUUCUGGCACUGCUAUAAAUAAAUAACCUGAGACCGAGUAAUCUGUAAAGAAAAGAGGCUCACCAUUCCACAGGCUGGGCAGGAAACAUGAUUCUGGCAUCUGCUCAGCUUCUAGAGAGGCCUCAGGAAACUUAACAAUCAUGGCAGAAAACAAAGGGGGAGUCUACACUUUGCUUGGCCAGAGUGAGAAGAAGAGAGGGAGCGGGGGAGGAUACCACACAGUUUUCAACAACCAGAUCUCAAGAGGACUCACUCUUACUGCGACACAGUACCAAGAGGGAAAUCUGCCCCCAUGAUGCCAUCACCUCCCACCGGACCCAGCUCCAACACUGGAGAUUACAAUUCAACAUAAGGUAGAACUCUGCAGAGAAAAUGCCUAGCACUUAUAUCUCCGGUAACUCCUAUCAAGGUUUAUUGUUGCUUGUUCAUCAUUGCAGUUCUGACUACAAGUGUGGUUGCACUUUCUAUUGUUUUGUCAGCAAGAGAAGAAAAGCCAGUGAUAGAGUCACCUAAGUAUGCUGCUUGCCCAAAAAGCUGGAUUGGAUUUGGGAGUAAAUGUUUUUAUUUUUCUGAAGACACAAGAAAUUGGACUUUCAGUCAAGUCUUCUGUGUCUCAUUAGAAGCCAGCCUUGCUCAGUUUGCAACUAUGGAAGAACUGAAUUUCCUGAAAAGAUACAAAGGCCCUUCUGACCACUGGAUUGGCCUUAGAAGAGAAUCAUACCAUCACAUUUGGAGGUGGACAGACAACACAGAAUAUAAUAACAUGUUUCUUAUCAGAGGAGUUGGAGAAUGUGCCUACCUGAAUGACAAUGGAGUCAGUAGUGCCAGCAUCUAUACAGACAGAAAAUGGAUUUGUAGCAAGCCAAAGAGUUAUGUCUACAGUUGCCAAAUUAGAAACUCUUUACAGAAUUUCCCUAUAGAUGUGUCAUAACUUGUUAUAUAUAAUUAAUGUAUAUAACACCUGGAAACACCUGGAUAUCCAGGCAGAAGACUGCCAUAGGGGUGGAUCCCUCUUGAAGAACCUCUACUAGGGCAAUGCAGAGAUCCCCCACUGGGAUGCUACCUGGUAGAGCUGUAAAACAAGAGCCACCAUCCUCUGAGUUCCUGGAAAGCCCACACCCACUAACUUUGGGACUGUCAAGACUCACCUAAAUCAGUUGAAAGCUGAUUUACUGAAAGCUACUCAGUUACAGAGGAGGGUAUCCUCAGAAAGCUGUCUUUGUUUUAAAGUCUUCUUUUAUAUAUAAAAGCUAAAUUAUGUCUACAUGUGAGUAGGCUGUCAGUGUGACACAAUUUGGUACUUCAUUGAUAUAAAGAAACUUAUCUUUGUCAUUUUAA